AAGUGAUGUUGGAAUGGUUA
rnacentral:miRNA from 1 species